rnacentral:rRNA from 1 species
UGGGGAAUAUUGCACAAUGGGCGCAAGCCUGAUGCAGCCAUGCCGCGUGUGUGAAGAAGGCCUUCGGGUUGUAAAGCACUUUCAGCGGGGAGGAAGGCGAUAAGGUUAAUAACCUUGUCGAUUGACGUUACCCGCAGAAGAAGCACCGGCUAACUCCGUGCCAGCAGCCGCGGUAAUUCGGAGGGUGCAAGCGUUCAUCGGAAUUACUGGGCGUAAAGCGCACGCAGGCGGUCUGUCAAGUCGGAUGUGAAAUCCCCGGGCUCAACCAGGGAAUUGCAUUCGAAACUGGCAGGCUAGAGUCUUGUAGAGGGGGGUAGAAUUCCAGGUGUAGCGGUGAAAUGCGUAGAGCUCUGGAGGAAUACCGGUGGCGAAGGCGGCCCCCUGGACAAAGACUGACGCUCAGGUGCGAAAGCGUGGGGAGCAAACAGG